UUUCCGUAGGUGAACCUGCGGAAGGAUCAUUAUUGUAUAACCGAGGUGCGAGGGCUGUCGCUGACCCGAAAGGUCGUGCACGCCCGAGUGCCCUCACACACAUCCAUCUCACCCCUAUGUGCACCACCGCGUGGGUCCCCCUUUGGCUUGUUCGGAGGGGGGCUUACGUUGUCACACAAACUUUGUAUGCAGUGUAGAAUGUAUUUUUUGUUUUUGCGAUCACGCAAUCAAUACAACUUUCAACAACGGAUCUCUUGGCUCUCGCAUCGAUGAGGAAC
rnacentral:misc_RNA from 1 species